CGGCUGAGUGUUUGGCCUCGGUGGGUGUGUUGGCUCUGGCCGGUGUGACGAGCGGCGGGGACAAGCUCUCCACGGAGGACAUACGGGACAUAUGCUGCAAAGCUGACGCACUGAUUGCAUUUUCAACUUCACCACCUCAGCCACCCACACCACCAACCUGACAGUGACGACUCCUACGGCCUACAGUACGUAUAAGGUUGAAGAAGGCAAUAUUGUUACCCACGGUGAAGGUGGAGUAGUCGAGGUCUCCAGACCUGAAGUACAUGAUGUUGUGCACCAGCUGCUUAGUGGAGGUGGUGCCUCCGUCAGCCUGGGCCUGCAGCACCUCCAC